rnacentral:lncRNA from 1 species
AAAAACAAAAAAAAAUCAUCAUGACGAAUGAGUUCCCGUUGGGGGCUCAAAUCAAUGGUUUUGGCUAAAUCUCAAAUUAACUCGGUAGCCGAGUGAUCUGAACGAGGAGCGACAACAUUGAUGACUUGGAGGGUUGAGAAGCUUUCUUCAGCUGGUCCACGUGAGGCACGUGCGAGGAUAUCAACGUCAGAGAAAAGACACCUUCGAGAAACAGAGACCACCUUUCCCACGCGGCAAUUAUAUGUACAAAGGUAUAUGAAUUUAGCGAAUUGAUAUUUAAUUAACAAAGCAAUCACAGAAGCACAAUCGUUGCAUUGGUAUUAGCGCUUCUCUUUCUCUUGUGGGCAAAUUUUAGAUCUAGAGUUUUAUUCUUCCUUCCUUUUUUCCGAUCAGUGCUUCAUCUUUGGCCAAGGUCAAUCGAUUGAGAUCCAUGGGUGAGCAGCUCCUCUUCUCUGUCUGCGGUGGUGUGGUAGCCCCUUCGAUGUUGUCGUGGCUGUGGUGGUGCGAUUGGAGUUCUUUGUAGCGGUGGUUCCCGUUUUUGAAGACGGCGGGGAUGCUUCAGAGUUCUUCUUGGCUCAGUCGCCUCUUCUAUGAGCUGGGACAACGGCGGAAAUCGGUGGGGGUUAGGAGGGUUUCGCGUUUUGAUGUGGGAGUUAGCGGUAGAUCUGUAUGAUCUUAGAUGGCUGAUGCGGGUUAUUGGUUGCAGAUGGUUUGGUUUGAGCCGCCGCUUUCUGUUUUUGCCGUGUUUGGUAUCUCUCCGUCCAGAUCGAGGAAGAGUUUGCUCGGAUCUCGGUAAACUGCGGUGAAGGAAAGAGAAGGUUAGAUCUGAGAGUGGCGGAUUGCUAGGUUGGGAUCUGCCACCGUGGAACCGUGUUGUCGGGGUGACUAGCUUUCCGGGAGACUUGUGGUGGGUCUGGUGCGGCGGAGGAAAGGGAUCAAAGAUGGAAACCGGUCUCUUUCGUCCAUGGUUUUCGAUCCUUCGUCGUGGCCGCAAAGCUGUGAUUCUUGAGCCCGCCGGAUCUCAGGCUCCGGUCACUCUGCCUCCGGCGAUCAACAGGAUCCGAGUUCUCUUUUUUCACCGUUAGUUUUUUCCGAUUUUCUUUGCUUAAUGGAUCACAAUCGUGUAAGGCCUGGCCCAGGCUAUUUGGGUUUAUUCGAAUUUUAUAAAUAAAUAUUAUAAAUAUAAAAAAAA